AAAACGACUCUCGGCAACGGAUAUCUCGGCUCUCGCAUCGAUGAAGAACGUAGCGAAAUGCGAUACUUGGUGUGAAUUGCAGAAUCCCGUGAACCAUCGAGUCUUUGAACGCAAGUUGCGCCCUAAGCCAUUUGGCCGAGGGCACGUCUGCCUGGGCGUCAWUC
rnacentral:rRNA from 1 species